GUGCCAGCAGCCGCGGUAAUACGUAGGGGGCAAGCGUUGUCCGGAAUCAUUGGGCGUAAAGCGCGUGUAGGCGGCCUGGAAAGUCUGGUGUGAAAUCUUGGGGCUCAACCCCAAGCUGUCACUGGAUACUGUCAGGCUCGAGUCCGGAAGAGGAGUGUGGAAUUCCUGGUGUAGCGGUGGAAUGCGCAGAUAUCAGGAGGAACACCAAUGGCGAAGGCAGCACUCUGGUACGUGACUGACGCUGAGACGCGAAAGCGUGGGGAGCAAACAGGAUUAGAUACCCUGGUAGUCC
rnacentral:rRNA from 1 species